UACGGAGGGUGCAAACGUUAUCCGGAAUCACUGGGCGUAAAGCGCAUGUAGGUGGUUCGGUAAGUGGGCGAUUAAAUACCAACGCUUAACGUUGGGACUGUUGCCUAUACUGCCAGACUAGAGAUUGACAGGGGCAAGCGGAACUUUAGGUGUAGGAGUGAAAUCCGUAGAUAUCUAAAGGAACACCAAUGGCGAAGGCAGCUUGCUGGGUCUUUUCUGACACUGAGAUGCGAAAGCGUGGGUAGCAAACAGG
rnacentral:rRNA from 1 species